rnacentral:rRNA from 1 species
GAUGAACGCUGGCGGCGUGCCUAAUACAUGCAAGUCGAGCGAACAGACGAGGAGCUUGCUCCUCUGACGUUAGCGGCGGACGGGUGAGUAACACGUGGAUAACCUACCUAUAAGACUGGGAUAACAUCGGGAAACCGGAGCUAAUACCGGAUAAUAUAUUGAACCGCAUGGUUCAAUAGUGAAAGACGGUUUUGCUGUCACUUAUAGAUGGAUCCGCGCCGCAUUAGCUAGUUGGUAAGGUAACGGCUUACCAAGGCGACGAUGCGUAGCCGACCUGAGAGGGUGAUCGGCCACACUGGAACUGAGUCACGGUCCAGACUCCUACGGGAGGCAGCAGUAGGGAAUCUUCCGCAAUGGGCGAAAGCCUGACGGAGCAACGCCGCGUGAGUGAUGAAGGUCUUCGGAUCGUAAAACUCUGUUAUUAGGAAAGAACAAAUGUGUAAGUAACUAUGCACGUCUUGACGGUACCUAAUCAAAAAGCCACGGCUAACUACGUG